GCCAGGUGAUGAAGACCUGCACAACUUGAACUGUUGCUGCCCACGAGAAACUUUCAUUGCUCUAAAUCUUGGUGGAUGAGACCGAGUUUGUCCAUUCGCUGUAAGGCGGGGCAUAGAUCAGGGUCGAGGCUGGCAUGCGUGGUAUUGUGAGCUAUGGUGCUGUGCGGCCAGAUUCGAGACAGCUGGGGUGUCAGGGGGGUUGAGUGAUCUUGUGGGUGGGCUUCUGUUCUGGGGCAGCACAGUUGUGAAACAAGUUUUAGUAAUCUGAUGGCA